UGAAAGGAGGUGCCGCAUUUCGCACCUCCAUGUCAGUUUCGCUUUCUCUCUCUCUCUCACUGUCGCUUGCUGUCACACGAGAGAGCGCAGCCAAGACGGACGGUGCUCAGACCGUGCCCGGGUCAGCGACCUGAUGGGCACCAAAAUCGGUCGUGUGCAUUUCAAGGAGAGACAGCAAGAUGGCGUGGCAGCCGGUGGGCACGCUGUGGAAUUCUCUCCUGAUGGCGGCGUGGAGGGCAUCUGCUGAAAUGAGCGGCCCGUCCACUAGGGAAUCCUCCUCGCUGCGAGUCAUGUCCACCGAAGAGCCUGCCUGCUACAAAACGAUGAUUCCAGAUUAAAUUUAGCUUCUCCCAAACGUACUCGACAAAGGGCUCUCCA